UCACAUUUGAAAAAGAAGAUGGGCUAGGAACUCUGUACACUGUGAGUCCUGCACAUGAAUAUACCUGGCUAUUACUGUACAUUGUACAAUUCCUUGUCAACUGUCGAAGAAUCGAGAGGAGAAAGAUUAUGAAUCUGGAUCCGAAUCCGGACGAGAAUUUCUACAAUGUGGCUCGGAGGAUAAAUUGUUGUUGCUGGCCUCCCUCUACUGAGUG